CCUACGGGGGGCAGCAGUGAGGAAUAUUGGUCAAUGGGCGCGAGCCUGAACCAGCCAAGUAGCGUGAAGGAUGACUGCCCUACGGAUUGUAAACUUCUUUUAUAAAGGAGUAAAGUGAGGCACGUGUACCUUUUUGUGUGUACUUGAUGAAUAAGCAUCGGCUAACUCCGUGCCAGCAGCCGCGGUAAUACGGAGGAUCCGAGCGUUAUCCGGAUUUAUUGGGUUUAAAGGGAGCGGAGAUGGGUUGUUAAGUCAGUGGUGAAAGUUUGCGGCUCAACCGUCAAAUUGCAAUUGAUACUGGCAGUCUUGAGUACAGGUGAGGUAGGCGGAAUUCGUGGUGUAGCGGUGAAAUGCUUAGAUAUCACGAAGAACUCCGAUUGCGAAGGCAGCUUACUAGACUGCCACUGACAUUGAGGCUCGAAAGUGUGGGUAUCAAACAGGAUUAGAUACCCGAGUAGUC
rnacentral:rRNA from 1 species